rnacentral:lncRNA from 1 species
UGAUGACAUCCAUGCCAUCACUGAUCAAGGAUUGAAGCAGUUUUUUCACCACUGUAGUGAAUCUCUCAAGCCUCAAUAAACUAGAAGUGUUUGGCUGUCACGCUCUCACAGCCAGGUGUAUGGGCUGUUUGGCGUUGUCCUGCCCUCAUCUGCUGACCUUGAAUAUCGGAAGAGUGCCCAAGAUCACUGAUGUUUGCUUUGCCAAGAUACUGGGGAAUUUGAAAAAAGUAACUACUCUUAAUGUGACAGGUCUUGAAAUGGUGAGAGAUCGAAUUGUCCACCUCAUUGUGACACAAUGCCUGAAUCUGGACUGCUUGGUCCUUAGUUCCUGCUCUUGGGUUACAGAUAUAAGCUUGCUGGAAAUUGGUACCUACCUGCGAACAAUCAGAUUUCUUGAUGUGAGUGGAUGUAAAAAGGUCACUGACAUGGGGAUCCAAGCUUUGGCAAGAGGCUGCCACCAACUUCACUAUCUUGACCUGAGUUCGACAGGGAUAAGCAAAAGAGGGGUUAGUUUGUUGGCUAGCUAUUGCCAUGUCACUUUGGAGUGUGUGAAACUCAGUUUCUGCAAGGAAAUCACCCUGGAUGUUGUUAGAAAGCUUUGCAGAAAUUGCAGACGAUUGAAGAUGCUGCAUCUCUACGGCUGCCAUAUCACUCCAGACUUGAGCUCAAUAAAAGACAUUUAUAAAACAGUGGAAAUAUUUCAUGAUGGUUCUGCUUCCACCUGCUAAUGGAAUUCCAGCAAUGAUGGAUUUUAUUUUUUCAGCAGGCUUCAGUCAAGAUGUAAAGUCUAAGAUCAUAGUCAGAAGGAAAUUUCCAUGUAAGGUAGAGAUCUAAAUUUUCUUUAGCUUCAUGCAACAGGAGAGACCCAGUUAUAAGGUCUUAGAACUGAUUUCUUUAGCUAGGAAUGAUCUUUCCUACUUGGAAUUUCUCACAGCAUUUUGUUUGAAACUUUACUUUGGCACUUGUUAUAUGUAAUUUCUUUGCCUAUUUAUGUAUCUCUUAUCUAACCUACCGGAGUGCAGUUCUUGAGGGCAGGGUUUGUGUUUUUUAUUUCAGUUUUUAUACCAAAAACUUACCAUGAUACCUUGCACAUAGGAUGUGCUUAAUCAAAGUUUGCUGAAUUAGAUUUUUG